rnacentral:rRNA from 1 species
CCAGACUCCUACGGGAGGCAGCAGUGGGGAAUAUUGGGCAAUGGAGGCAACUCUGACCCAGCAACGCCGCGUGAGUGAUGAAGGUCUUCGGAUUGUAAAACUCUUUAAGUGGGGACGAAGAAAGUGACUGUACCCACAGAAUAAGCCUCGGCUAACUACGUGCCAGCAGCCGCGGUAAUACGUAGGUGGCAAGCGUUAUCCGGAUUUACUGGGUGUAAAGGGCGUGUAGGCGGGACUGCAAGUCAGAUGUGAAAAUUAUGGGCUCAACCCAUAACCUGCACUUGAAACUGUAGUUCUUGAGUGAUGGAGAGGCAGGCGGAAUUCCGUGUGUAGCGGUGAAAUGCGUAGAUAUACGGAGGAACACCAGUGGCGAAGGCGGCCUGCUGGACAUUAACUGACGCUGAGGCGCGAAAGCGUGGGGAGCAAACAGGAUUAGAUACCCUUGUA